rnacentral:rRNA from 1 species
CAAUAGCGUAUAUUAAAGUUGUUGCGGUUAAAAAGCUCGUAGUUGGAUUUCUGUCGAGGAUGGUCGGUCCCCAUUACGUGGGUGUAUCUGAUGCAGCCUUGGCAUCCUCCUAGAGAACGCGCUGUGCUUAACUGCGUGGUGCGGUAUCUAGGACUUUUACUUUGAGGAAAUUAGAGUGUUUACGGCAGGCAAUCGCCUUGAAUACGUUAGCAUGGAAUAAUAACAUAGGACUUUUUGUCUAUUUUGUUGGUUUCUAGACGGAAAGUAAUGAUUAAUAGGGAUAUUUGGGGGUAUUCGUAUUAUCAGGUCAGAGGUGGAAUUCUUAGAUUCUGAUACGACGAACUACUGCGAAAGCAUUUACCAAGGAUGUUUUCAUUGA